rnacentral:rRNA from 3 species
AGAGUUUGAUCAUGGCUCAGAUUGAACGCUGGCGGCAGGCCUAACACAUGCAAGUCGAACGGUAACAGGAAUCAGCUUGCUGAUUCGCUGACGAGUGGCGGACGGGUGAGUAAUGUCUGGGAAACUGCCUGAUGGAGGGGGAUAACUACUGGAAACGGUAGCUAAUACCGCAUAAUGUCGCAAGACCAAAGAGGGGGACCUUCGGGCCUCUUGCCAUCGGAUGUGCCCAGAUGGGAUUAGCUUGUUGGUGGGGUAACGGCUCACCAAGGCGACGAUCCCUAGCUGGUCUGAGAGGAUGACCAGCCACACUGGAACUGAGACACGGUCCAGACUCCUACGGGAGGCAGCAGUGGGGAAUAUUGCACAAUGGGCGCAAGCCUGAUGCAGCCAUGCCGCGUGUAUGAAGAAGGCCUUCGGGUUGUAAAGUACUUUCAGCGGGGAGGAAGGGAGUAAAGUUAAUACCUUUGCUCAUUGACGUUAUCCGCAGAAGAAGCACCGGCUAACUCCGUGCCAGCAGCCGCGGUAAUACGGAGGGUGCAAGCGUUAAUCGGAAUUACUGGGCGUAAAGCGCACGCAGGCGGUUUGUUAAGUCAGAUGUGAAAUCCCCGGGCUCAACCUGGGAACUGCAUCUGAUACUGGCAAGCUUGAGUCUCGUAGAGGGGGGUAGAAUUCCAGGUGUAGCGGUGAAAUGCGUAGAGAUCUGGAGGAAUACCGGUGGCGAAGGCGGCCCCCUGGACGAAGACUGACGCUCAGGUGCGAAAGCGUGGGGAGCAAACAGGAUUAGAUACCCUGGUAGUCCACGCCGUAAACGAUGUCGACUUGGAGGUUGUGCCCUUGAGGCGUGGCUUCCGGAGCUAACGCGUUAAGUCGACCGCCUGGGGAGUACGGCCGCAAGGUUAAAACUCAAAUGAAUUGACGGGGGCCCGCACAAGCGGUGGAGCAUGUGGUUUAAUUCGAUGCAACGCGAAGAACCUUACCUGGUCUUGACAUCCACGGAAGUUUUCAGAGAUGAGAAUGUGCCUUCGGGAACCGUGAGACAGGUGCUGCAUGGCUGUCGUCAGCUCGUGUUGUGAAAUGUUGGGUUAAGUCCCGCAACGAGCGCAACCCUUAUCCUUUGUUGCCAGCGGUCCGGCCGGGAACUCAAAGGAGACUGCCAGUGAUAAACUGGAGGAAGGUGGGGACGACGUCAAGUCAUCAUGGCCCUUACGACCAGGGCUACACACGUGCUACAAUGGCGCAUACAAAGAGAAGCGACCUCGCGAGAGCAAGCGGACCUCAUAAAGUGCGUCGUAGUCCGGAUUGGAGUCUGCAACUCGACUCCAUGAAGUCGGAAUCGCUAGUAAUCGUGGAUCAGAAUGCCACGGUGAAUACGUUCCCGGGCCUUGUACACACCGCCCGUCACACCAUGGGAGUGGGUUGCAAAAGAAGUAGGUAGCUUAACCUUCGGGAGGGCGCUUACCACUUUGUGAUUCAUGACUGGGGUGAAGUCGUAACAAGGUAACCGUAGGGGAACCUGCGGUUGGAUCACCU